rnacentral:rRNA from 1 species
AUUGAACGCUGGCGGCAGGCCUAACGCAUGCAAGUCGAGCGGAUGAAGGGAGCUUGCUCCUGGAUUCAGCGGCGGACGGGUGAGUAAUGCCUAGGAAUCUGCCUGGUAGUGGGGGAUAACGUCCGGAAACGGGCGCUAAUACCGCAUACGUCCUGAGGGAGAAAGUGGGGGAUCUUCGGACCUCACGCUAUCAGAUGAGCCUAGGUCGGAUUAGCUAGUUGGUGGGGUAAAGGCCUACCAAGGCGACGAUCCGUAACUGGUCUGAGAGGAUGAUCAGUCACACUAGAACGGAGACACGGUCCAGACGCCUACGGGAGGCAGCAGUGGGGAAUAGUGGACAAUGGGCGAAAGCCUGAUCCAGCCAUGCCGCGUGUGUGAAGAAGGUCUUCGGAGUGUAAAGCACGUUAAGGUGGGAGGAAGGGCAGUAAGUUAAUACCUUGCUGUUUUGACGUUACCAACAGAAUAAGCACCGGCUAACUUCGUG